rnacentral:tRNA from 1 species
CAGGGAGACAACAAAAUGUUUAAUAUUAUUAUUUUGUCACCUUAGGUCGAUCGGUAUCUCACGUUCUUAAUUUAUUUAAGAAUUUUAUUUCCUAAGUUUUUCUAGGUCACACCCAUUAUUUUCCCUGGGCCAUUAGCUCAGGUGGUUAGAGCGCACCCCUGAUAAGGGUGAGGUCCCUGGUUCAAGUCCAGGAUGGCCCAUAUCUCUAUGUUGGGGGUAUAGCUCAGUUGGUAGAGCGCCUGCUUUGCAAGCAGGAUGUCAGCGGUUCGAGUCCGCUUACCUCCACUGAUUACCACCUCUUCCAUAAAUUUAUAGAAGGGAAACUUUUUUGAGGUGUGAUCAAAUUCUGAACGAAUCUAGCUUCCUAAUCAAGCUCAAUUAGGAUGCUGGACUCAUUGAAUUAAUUUCAUUGUUUUCAGAGAACCUUGACAACUGCAUAGAUUAUUUUUAAAGACAAUAAGCAUCUUUAAUGAUGCAGAUUUAUUAUUUGUGUGAAUGCAUUAAUAACAAUUCUAUUAAGCUGAUGCUUCAAUUUUUGAAGUUAUU